rnacentral:rRNA from 1 species
UACGUAGGGGGGCUAGCGUUGUCCGGAAUCAUUGGGCGUAAAGAGCGUGUAGGCGGCCCGGUAAGUCCGCUGUAAAAGUCAAAGGCUCAACCUUUGAAUGUCAGUGGAUACUGCCGGGCUAGAGUCCGGAAGAGGCGAGUGGAACUCCUGGUGUAGCGGUGGAAUGCGCAGAUAUCAGGAAGAACACCAACGGCGAAGGCAGCUCGCUGGGACGGUACUGACGCUGAGACGCGAAAGCAUGGGGAGCGAACAGG